AAGACCCGCUGUCUGGCCCUGAGCAGGGUGUGACCUCCGCAGUCGCAGAGGAGGAGCGCAGCCCGGCCUCGAAGAACUUCUGCUUGGGUGGCUGAACUCUGAUCUUGACCUAGAGUCAUGGCCAUGCACAAACAACGAGGAAACAGAAGAUUCACCAAACUUUUAUGAACAGCCAACUCUUAUAAAGACAAGGGACCAAUCUGAAAAAUCAGAAUAAAGUCUCCUCGUUAAAGCUGCUGCAAGAAAUAGGCACCGAUGAAGAUGCCAUUAUUAGCAUCCUUGCCUACCGCAACACCGCCCAGCGCCAGGAGAUCAGGACAGCCUACAAGAGCACCAUCGGCAGGGACUUGAUAGACGACCUGAAGUCAGAACUGAGUGGCAACUUCGAGCAGGUGAUUGUGGGGAUGAUGACGCCCACGGUGCUGUAUGACGUGCAAGAGCUGCGAAGGGCCAUGAAGGGAGCCGGCACUGAUGAGGGCUGCCUAAUUGAGAUCCUGGCCUCCCGGACCCCUGAGGAGAUCCGGCGCAUAAGCCAAACCUACCAGCAGCAAUAUGGACGGAGCCUUGAAGAUGACA
rnacentral:sRNA from 1 species